AGAGCAGCGGGUUACCCAGAGCGGCUCGGGGGACAGUGGCCACGGGCUGGCAUUCGACAGCAGCAGUGGACUGUUGUAAUGCUCUCCAGACAACCCUGCGGACGCCGUCGACAGGGACGGACAGAACACCCCCCCACCCCCCACACUCGGCGGGACCUUUUCCUGAGCCGUGGAUCUGACAUCACCGCCCACCUGUGCCCACCGAGGGGACAUCUGCUGAGGGAGGAUGAGGCCGAUCUGAGGAGGGGAGGAGUCUGGGCCAGACCUGAGACCAGAAGGAAGUCAGCCACUUCCACACCCAGGGCCAGCUGGCCCACUGGCCAGCGUCCAGCCCCAUACCCGGAAAGCAGAGGCGAGGCAAGGCCAGGCACAGCCCCUGGACCUUCUCAUGGGAAAAGGCUUUCGUAAAAGGUCUGGUGGGAAGGAAUUAGCUUUGACUAACCCCAACCUAACUGAAUGCCUACCACGCACAAGGCCCUGCGCCAGGCAGG